AGGUAGUCUGUUUCACCGUCAGGUGGCGUCUGGUUCACCGACUAGCCAGGUUUACACAACUUUCGACAAAGUAGUAGGGUAGAAAACCAAUGUAGUCACAAUUUUAAAAAGUUAAAAUAGUAAAAUUCCUUCAAAAUGGUUACCUCCAAAAAACUAUAGUCCUAAGCUACGUUUUGGCCUUGGAUGUUAUUUUAUUCUGCAUUCAAGAUCCUGCAAGUCGACUUUUCCAUGCUUAAGGAACUCGCCUUUAACCUGAUCUUGUGCGUAUAUUAGUACGGACACCGUGCACCCGAGCGCGGGGAAAUUAAUUGACGGCGGAACUUGGUCUUACCGCCCAGGGACCGUCUUAUUCUGAUCGAAGGUGUGGGACUAGACUGCUAGUACCAUAGCGACAAUGACACGGUGCAAUCACCAGCGACGGACCUCGAUAGGUUUUAUAGGUACUUCCUGAGGGUUGAGACGGACCUCAUGUGGUCCUCGGAACAUCGCGACGAUCACGCUCAUCGAUCGUCAUGUCUUCUUCUCUUUUUCAUCUUGGGGAAACUUCUACUCCAUCACGAAGGAAAUAUGAGAUUAAAUAACAGAAACACGUCCCUCACCUCUCGAAAGGUAAGCAUAGAUAGACUGUAUUAUACGUUCUGCGCAAAUCAUUCUGUAACUAUUUUCGACUAAGCUUUGAGAGCUAACAACCGUGAUCCAAUGGUGCGCAUAUUGACUGAACGUUUCAUACACCACAUUUGGUAUGGAAAGAAUGAAAUUGUAACAUUUGUCUGAAACACGGAAUGGAUUCUAUGAUUUAAUCAAGAAAAACAUUUAAGAUUUAAAUUGCUUUGAAUUGUGCAGUAGUGCAGCUUAUACGUACUUUGGUUCAAUGAGUCAACUUGGAGAAAUGUUCCAGCAUUAAUUGAAAUCGGAUAGAAAAAUUUCCACAUGCUUUGCUAUUUAUGAAAUUAUUCAUAUUCAUAGUCUAGGAUUACUGAUUGGGAAUUGAGAUAUCGAAAGGCUUUUGGUAAUUUCCAUUUAUAAAAAGUGGUUCGUAUUGAUAUUUCGUUUCAACUUUGAAUUUCAUUUACUCACAACCAACAUGUUGACAUCUAGCGGCCAGAAAACAAACCUGACUGUGGAGACUACACGUCAAAUUGCCAAGUGUUAUGAUUGUACUUCAAGUCUUUGACCUGAAUGCAGGUAGAAAAUUAACUCGUUCUGUAUACUUCCUCUCGAAUGGAAGAAUCCCGGCUCUACUCACAGGAAUGAGCAGUAAUGACGAAAAUAGCGACUCGUUGACUUUAUCUCCAGUCUGGAAAUCUUAUCUUUACCAGUUACAGCAAGAAGCUCCUACAGCCGUUGCUGUUCUUUGCUCUUCCAAUCAAGAGGAUGCCAACAGACCUCCAUACUUUGAGGAUGAGUACCAUGGCUGCAUUUCAAAUCAGGACACUAAAAUGUUGUUGAUGAAAGAUGGUCAUUUCCUUGUCAGAGAGAGUGGAAAGAAUAGAGGACACCACACAUUAAGCCUCAGAUUUAACAAUGAAUUGAAGCAUUACAGGUUAUAUUUUGAUGGCAGAUUUUUUGUUGGUGAAAAGAAAUUUGAUCUGUUGUUAGAUCUGGUUACUGACGGCCUAAUUACAAUGCAUUUGGAAAUAAAAGCUGGUGAUUACAUUCAUCUCAUGUGUCGAGCGGCAAGUUACGAGCAAAGCCCCUACUUCACCCUAAACGAGAGGAAGCGUCGCACUUUGAGUCGUAAUAAUAGGCCUGCCCUUGUUCAGCCGAUCUCAGACGACAUUCAUUAUGACAAAGCCCAUGACUUUCGAAUCCAAAACUUCAAAGGCUUGCAUUGGUGCGAUUUUUGUGGAAACUUUAUGUGGGGUAUAAUUGCCCAAGGAGUUCGAUGUGAAGAUUGUGGAAUUUCAGCUCAUCGAAAGUGCUCAGAAAAAAUUCCAGCUGACUGCUGUCCGGAUCUGAAACUUUUAAGAGGAGUUUUUGGCGUGGAUUUGACUACCCUCAACAAAGCGCAUGGAAACACGCGUAUUCCUUUUCUAGUUGACAUGUGCGUUAAAGAAAUUGAAAGACGAGGCCUUAACUCCGAAGGAAUUUACAGAGUCUCUGGUUUGAGAGAUGACGUUGAAGCAUUAAGACUUGCUUUUGACAGAGAUGGCGACAAGACUGAUCUAGGACCUUCGUCCUGGGAAGACAUCAAUGUUGUCGCUGGUGUACUGAAAUUAUAUUUCCGUCUUCUACCAAUUCCAUUAAUUGCCUUUCAGGUUUACCCGCUUGUGAUGACAGCUGCAAAAGAGCCUGAUGAAAACCGCCGUUUGCAACGAAUAAAAGAUGCCGUACAUUUACUUCCACCUGCUCACUAUAACUCGUUGAAAUAUCUUAUCUUUCACUUACAUAGGAUAGCGGAAAACAAAGAAAAGAAUAAGAUGUCGUCUCUGAAUUUGAGUACGGUUUGGUGCCCCACCUUAUUUCCUGGACCUGAUUUGCAAGAAAUCAACAGUACCGGAUCAAUACCCGACUUUCACCUUGAAGCUACUUCACUGGACGUUAUGAUCAGACAACCCCAUUUGAUUUUUCCUCCAAAUAUUUAACCGUUCCAUUACCUGACAUGAUCUUGCCACACUUAUUUAUGUUCUGACCACUAGUCUGAAACAUUGCGGUAUGUUUGCACCAGCACUUCUCCUUCCAUUUACGGUGCAUAAACAUAGUUCACCGGAGACGGCAUAUACAAGACAGCAAAUAAUGUACUCGUUAAGAGGCAGGAAUCUUUGGUAAUCCAAAUUCAUCCACAGCAACGCCAUCCUUAAACAAACAAACAAAACACAAAUAUCAAAGACAGUUCAAUAUCAAUAAUACAGUGAAAAAAUGCAAAAAUUGACAUACCACGUUAACGCUUUCAGCUCCUGGUUCCCUGUCUGGCGCUGACGGAGCCUUGAUCGCAUCGUCAAGAUAAGAUGAAUCUUCAUCUCCAAGCAUUUCAUCGCCCAGAGCUUCCAGUUCAGCUUCCAGUUCAUCUUCAUCAAUGUCAGGGGUUCCAUAGCUCCUACCAAGGGCUUCUUGGACUUCAUCAGCUUGUUCAAGCAUAUCAGCCAUAUCAUCUUGGAUAUCCUUUUUUGGAAGGAAAACAAAAAAUUGUAUGUUCUGCUCAAUACUACGAAAGUAGAUAAUAAGUCUAACCUCAACUUGAUCAAUAUUUAUCUUCUUAAACUCUUUUUUCAUUUCUUUUAAACCCAUUUGCAUGGCUUUCACCGUAGAUUGUGUAUCUUUCAACGUUUGUGUGGCAUAGUUAGCCUGUUCCAUGUUGAAUGACUGUUGACGCAAAUUACCAGCUUGUUGUUCAUACCUGGACAAAGCAUUCUUAUUAAAUUUUUGCCCAUAGUUAUUCUAAA
rnacentral:misc_RNA from 1 species